rnacentral:rRNA from 1 species
AGGACGAACGCUGGCGGCGCGCUUAACACAUGCAAGUCGAGCGAGAACCGGUCCUUCGGGACCGGGGAAAGCGGCGAACGGGUGAGUAACACGUGGGUAAUCAACCCUCGGUACCGGGAUAGCCCGAGGAAACUCGGAUUAAUACCGGAUGGCCCAACAGCCUUUCGGGGCGGUUGGAAAAGGUAGCUUCGGCCUCCGACCGAGGACGAGCCCGCGGCGGAUUAGCUUGUUGGUGGGGUAACGGCCCACCAAGGCGACGAUCCGUAGCUGGUCUGAGAGGACGAUCAGCCACACUGGGACUGAGACACGGCCCAGACUCCUACGGGAGGCAGCAGUGGGGAAUCUUGCACAAUGGGCGAAAGCCUGAUGCAGCGACGCCGCGUGAGGGAAGAAGGCCUUCGGGUUGUAAACCGUCUUUCAGAGGGGACGAAGCCACUCGGGUUAAUAGCCCAGAGGGUGACGGUACCUUCAGAAGAAGCCCCGGCUAACUACGCGCCAGCAGCCGC